CCGCGGCAAGACGGAAAGACCCCGUGAACCUUUACUAUAGCUUGACACUGAACACUGGUCCUUGAUGUGUAGGAUAGGUGGGAGGCUUUGAAGUGCGGACGCCAGUCUGCAUGGAGCCAUCCUUGAAAUACCACCCUUUAAUGGCUGGUGUUCUAACGUGGGCCCGUAAUCCGGGUUGCGGACAGUGUCUGGUGGGUAGUUUGACUGGGGCGGUCUCCUCCUAAAGAGUAACGGAGGAGCACGAAGGUCAGCUAAUCCUGGUCGGAC
rnacentral:rRNA from 1 species